rfam:Ipomoea nil DNA, scaffold: scaffold0918, cultivar: Tokyo-kokei standard.
GACGGUUUGGCCGAGUGGUCUAAGGCGCCAGAUUUAGGCUCUGGUCCGAAAGGGCGUGGUUCAAAUCCCACAGCCGUCA